GGGGGGGGGGGGGGGGGGGGGGGGGGCGGGGGGGGCGGGGGGGGGGGCGGUGGGGGGGUGCGCUUACGGGUGGCGGGGGGCGGGGGGGUGAGGGGUACAUCGGACUCUACUUUUUCGUGGGGGCUAACGUAGGGAAACUUACGGUAAUACCGCAUACGACCUACGGGUGACAGCAGGGGAUCUUCGGACCUUGCGCGAUUGAAUGAGCCGCUGUCGGAUUAGCUAGUUGGCGGGGUAAAGGCCCACCAAGGCGACGAUCCGUAGCUGGUCUGAGAGGAUGAUCAGCCACACUGGAACUGAGACACGGUCCAGAAUCCUACGGGAGGCAGCAGUGGGGAAUAUUGGACAAUGGGCGCAAGCCUGAUCCAGCCAUACCGCGUGGGUGAAGAAGGCCUUCGGGUUGUAAAGCCUUGUUGUUGGGAAAGAAAAGCAGCAGGUUAAUACCCCGCUGUUCUGACGGUACCCAAAGAAUAAGCACCGGCUAACUUCGUG
rnacentral:rRNA from 1 species